rnacentral:rRNA from 1 species
ACUCCUACGGGGAGGCAGCAGUAGGGAAUCUUCCACGAUGGACGAAAGUCUGAUGGAGCAACGCCGCGUGAGUGAAGAAGGGUUUCGGCUCGUAAAACUCUGUUGUUAAAGAAGAACAUAUCUGAGAGUAACUGUUCAGGUAUUGACGGUAUUUAACCAGAAAGCCACGGCUAACUACGUGCCAGCAGCCGCGGUAAUACGUAGGUGGCAAGCGUUGUCCGGAUUUAUUGGGGCGUAAAGCGAGCGCAGGCGGUUUUUAAAGUCUGAUGUGAAAGCCUUCGGCUCAACCGAAGAAGUGCAUCGGAAACUGGGAAACUUGAGUGCAGAAGAGGACAGUGGAACUCCAUGUGUAGCGGUGAAAUGCGUAGAUAUAUGGAAGAACACCAGUGGCGAAGGCGGCUGUCUGGUCUGUAACUGACGCUGAGGCUCGAAA